rnacentral:rRNA from 1 species
UACGAAGGGGGCUAGCGUUGUUCGGAAUUACUGGGCGUAAAGCGCACGUAGGCGGAUUGUUAAGUUAGGGGUGAAAUCCCGGGGCUCAACCCCGGAACUGCCUUUAAUACUGGCAAUCUCGAGUCCGGGAGAGGUGAGUGGAACUCCGAGUGUAGAGGUGAAAUUCGUAGAUAUUCGGAAGAACACCAGUGGCGAAGGCGGCUCACUGGCCCGGUACUGACGCUGAGGUGCGAAAGCGUGGGGAGCAAACAGG